rnacentral:rRNA from 1 species
UGGGGGAUAUUGCACAAUGGGCGAAAGCCUGAUGCAGCGACGCCGCGUGGGGGAUGAAGGCUUUCGGGUUGUAAACCUCUUUCGCUAUCGAACAAGGCCCGCUUAGGGUGGGUUGAGGGUAGGUGGAGAAGAAGCGCCGGCUAACUACGUGCCAGCAGCCGCGGUAAUACGUAGGGCGCGAGCGUUGUCUGGAAUUAUUGGGCGUAAAGGGCUUGUAGGCGGCUUGUUGCGCCUGCUGUGAAAACGCGGGGCUUAACUUCGGGCGUGCAGUGGGUACGGGCAGGCUUGAGUGUGGUAGGGGUGACUGGAAUUCCAGGUGUAGCGGUGGAAUGCGCAGAUAUCUGGAGGAACACCGAUGGCGAAGGCAGGUCACUGGGCCAUUACUGACGCUGAGGAGCGAAAGCAUGGGUAGCGAACAGG